rnacentral:rRNA from 1 species
CCUGGGGAUAACAGGCUUAUCGCCCCCAAGAGUCCACAUCGACGGGGAGGUUUGGAACCUCGAUGUCGGCUCAUCACAUCCUGGGGCUGUAGUAGGUCCCAAGGGUUGGGCUGUUCGCCCAUUAAAGUGGUACGCGAGCUGGGUUCAGAACGUCGUGAGACAGUUCGGUCCCUAUCCGUCGCAGGCGUAGGAAAUUUGAGAAGACCUGGCCUUAGUACGAGAGGACCGGGAUGGACGUACCUCUGGUGUACCAGUUGUUCUGCCAAGGGCAUGGCUGGGUAGCUAUGUACGGAAUGGAUAAGCGCUGAAAGCAUCUAAGCGCGAAGCCAACUUCAA